CAGUAGCCACGGUAAUACGGAGGGUGCAAGCGUUAAUCGGAAUUACUGGGCGUAAAGCGCACGCAGGCGGUCUGACAAGUCAGAUGUGAAAUCCCCGGGCUUAACCUGGGAACUGCAUUUGAAACUGUCAGGCUGGAGUCUUGUAGAGGGGGGUAGAAUUCCAGGUGUAGCGGUGAAAUGCGUAGAGAUCUGGAGGAAUACCGGUGGCGAAGGCGGCCCCCUGGACAAAGACUGACGCUCAGGUGCGAAAGCGUGGGGAGCAAACAGGAUUAGAUACCCGCGUAGUCCUGUCUCUUAUACA
rnacentral:rRNA from 1 species